UAUGGUACGAUGAGAUAAUAGAUUGUGAUAUCGAAUAUUGAUUCGGAGUCCAGGAUGGGAUCCAGGACAUCACGAGGAGCUUCGGAAUGGUCCGGAGAUAAAGAAUUAUAUAUGGGAAAGUUGUUUCGGAAAAGUUCAGGAUAUUUUCCGGCAUUGACCGAGAAUAUUCUAGAAGGUUCCGGAAGUUCUCGGAAGGUUCUGAAAUGUUCCGAAUUAUUCCUGAGAAUUUAAUUGGGC
rnacentral:lncRNA from 1 species